rnacentral:tmRNA from 1 species
GGGGCUGACCGGUUUUGACAGCAUAGAUCUUUGUAAGUAAGCAUGCCGUGCGUUGUGUUAUUAGCACGUUAAUCUGAAAACUCAAACUUUAAAUGGCGAAACUUCUUACGCCAUGGCUGCCUGAUCAGUGAUCAAGUAGUCAUUAGGGCCGCGGCUGCCGGUUGUUCUGUUACCAUGCGCCGCCGCCGACUCAAAAACAAAACAGGAUGCUGCAACCGGGUGUUGUGACGGUUGCUUAAGACAAGCGCAACUAAGGAAGUGAUCGGUUCGUCCGUCUCCUGUUACUUCCCCACAACCAAUGCCGGAAUAAGCAUGUAGAAGGCUUAUGGGGAAUAUGUUUGGACGUGGGUUCGAAUCCCACCAGCUCCACCA